rnacentral:tRNA from 1 species
UGCCAGAUAGCCUAGUGGUUAAGGCUAUGGAUUGCCAAUUCGGAGACGGCGGGUGGCGGGUUCGAUUCCCGUUCCGGUCA